CCUACGGGGGGCAGCAGUGGGGAAUAUUGCGCAAUGGGCGAAAGCCUGACGCAGCGACGCCGCGUGAGGGAUGAAGGUCUUCGGAUCGUAAACCUCUGUCAGCAGGGAAGAACGGUCACUGUGCUAAUCAGCAGUGAAUUGACGGUACCUGCAAAGGAAGCACCGGCUAACUCCGUUCCAGCAGCCGCGGUAAUACGGAGGGUGCGAGCGUUAAUCGGAAUUAAUGGGCGUAAAGCGCUCGUAGGCGGUAUGUCAAGUCAAGGGUGAAAUCCCCGCGCUCAACGUGGGAACUGCCUUUUAAACUGGCAAACUGGAGUGUGUGAGAGGAUAGUGGAAUUCCAGGUGUAGGAGUGAAAUCCGUAGAUAUCUGGAGGAACAUCAGUGGCGAAGGCGACUAUCUGGCACAUAACUAACGCUGAGGAGCGAAAGCGUGGGUAGCAAACAGGAUUAGAUACCCGUGUAGUC
rnacentral:rRNA from 1 species